ACAUCGAUGAAAGCCGGCAAAAAUAUUGUAUUCAAUUGGCCGGAAAAAGACUCCGAGGAUUUCGAUCCUUUUUGUCCAACAAAUUUCUCAAGGAUGAGGAAGGAAAAUUUGUUGAAGCAGAACGGCCAAUGAAGUAUGCGGAGAUUAUUUCAUCCGAAGAAUGGGAUAACUUUGUCGCCAAACGAAGAAACGAAAAAUUCCAUGAAGUAAGCGACAAAAAAUCGGAAAAGGGCAUCAAAACCCGCGUAUCCGUACAAAAAAGGGCGUACGGGAUAUGCACGGUUACAACAAAGAAUUCUAGCCGAGGAGAAAAGUGACGCAACAUCUCUUCCGGAGCACGUAUUGUGGAAGGCUGC